rnacentral:rRNA from 1 species
GAUCCUGGCUCAGGAUGAACGCUGGCGGCGUGCCUAACACAUGCAAGUCGAACGGACUUACAUUGAAGCCUAGCGAUAUGUAAGUUAGUGGCGGACGGGUUAGUAACGCGUGGGUAACCUGCCUUGUACUGGGGGACAACAGUUGGAAACGACUGCUAAUACCGCAUAAGCGCACAGCUUCGCAUGAAGCAGUGUGAAAAACUCCGGUGGUACAAGAUGGACCCGCGUCUGAUUAGCUGG